rnacentral:lncRNA from 1 species
AAUCUAUAACUAUAUAUAAAGGGGAUACAAGUUUUUGGAGUGACCUAUUUUUGUUCCAAAAUUACCCUUUAUCUUUUUUAUAAAUAACUUGAGUGAUUAGUAUCUUUUGUUGGUUAUGAAUUGAUAAACUAACUUCCAUCUCUCACAAAAAAAAACUAUAACUUCCAUUAACCGUUGAAUGAUGACACAAAUUAAAAAUCCUCUUCUAUUUUUUUUUAAUUUCAUCUCUUUCUCAAUCAGCAUACUAUUUUUUUUGUUGAACUUUUUUAAUUCUAUUAUAUUUCUAUCUUACUUUUGAUUUUCUAUUGUAACUUUCUAAUAUGCAGUAUUUUU